rnacentral:rRNA from 1 species
GUGCCAGCAGCCGCGGUAAUACGUAGGGGGCGAGCGUUGUCCGAAUUUACUGGGCGUAAAGCGCGCGUAGGCGGAUAUUUAAGUUGUGGGUGAAAUCCCGAGGCUCAACCUCGGAACUGCCUGCAAAACUGGAUAUCUUGAGGUAUGGAGAGGGAAGUGGAAUUCCUGGUGUAGCGGUGAAAUGCGUAGAUAUCAGGAGGAACACCUGUCGCGAAGGCGGCUUCCUGGCCAUAUCCUGACGCUGAGGUGCGAAAGCCAGGGGAGCGAACGGGAUUAGAUACCCCGGUAGUCC